rnacentral:rRNA from 1 species
ACGCUGGCGGCAGGCCUAACACAUGCAAGUCGAGCGGUAGAGAGAAGCUUGCUUCUCUUGAGAGCGGCGGACGGGUGAGUAAUGCCUAGGAAUCUGCCUGGUAGUGGGGGAUAACGUUCGGAAACGGACGCUAAUACCGCACACGUCCUACGGGAGAAAGCAGGGGACCUUCGGGCCUUGCGCUAUCAGAUGAGCCUAGGUCGGAUUAGCUAGUUGGUGAGGUAAUGGCUCACCAAGGCGACGAUCCGUAACUGGUCUGAGAGGAUGAUCAGUCACACUGGAACUGAGACACGGUCCAGACUCCUACGGGAGGCAGCAGUGGGGAAUAUUGGACAAUGGGCGAAAGCCUGAUCCAGCCAUGCCGCGUGUGUGAAGAAGGUCUUCGGAUUGUAGAGCACUUUAAGUUGGGAGGAAGGGUUGUAGAUUAAUACUCUGCAAUUUUGACGUUACCGACAGAAUAAGCACCGGCUAACUCUGUGUCAGCAGCCGCGGUAAUACAGAGGGUGCAAGCGUUAAUCGGAACUACUGGGCGUAAAGCGCGCGUAGGUGGUUUGUUAAGUUGGAUGUGAAAUCCCCGGGCUCAACCUGGGAACUGCAUUCAAAACUGACUGACUAGAGUAUGGUAGAGGGUGGUGGAAUUUCCUGUGUAGCGGUGAAAUGCGUAGAUAUAGGAAGGAACACCAGUGGCGAAGGCGACCACCUGGACUAAUACUGACACUGAGGUGCGAAGGCGUGGGGAGCAAACAG